GCGGUGAAUGCAGGUGGAACUACAGACUCUUCAUCUCGUGUCGCGGGUUCGAGUCCCGCCGGUCUCAUAUGAGGGGGACCGUAGCUCAGUGGGUAGAGCACGACGUUUCACCGAUACUCGUCAUCUGCUU
rnacentral:Y_RNA from 1 species